UUUCUAGUCAUAAAAUUAUAACUUUCUGUGAUAUUUUUGGCUCUUCAUGUAUGUUGGUUAGUUUCACAACUCACUGCCUGUGCAAUUUCCUUUCAGUUCACUGAUUGCUUUGCAUAGACCCUCCAGGCCCAGGCUGGCUGAUCAGAUUUUAUAAACAGGACCUUUGCAAUGUGAGCUGAUCAGCAUCAGGCAGGCAGGGGCAGCAAGAUGGUGCCACAGACUCUGUUCCUCUUGUCCCUGUUGCUCUGGGCCUCUGGUGCCAGUGGGGACGUUGUGUUGACCCAGUCUCCAGCCUCUCUGGCUGCGUCUCCAGGAGAAACGGUCACCAUGAACUGCAAGUCCAGUCAGAGUGCAAGCGGCUAUAUAAGCUGGUAUCAGCAGAAACCAGGACAGGCUCCUACGCUGUUCAUCUACAGUGCAUCUGACCGGGCAUCUGGGGUCCCUGAGCGGUUCAGCGGCAGUGGGUCUGGGACAGACUUCACUCUCACCAUCAGCAGCCUCCAGGCUGAAGAUGCCGGAGUUUAUUAUUGUCAGUAUGGUUAUGGUUAUUAUAGGUAUGGUACCACAGUGCUUCAGCCUCGAACACAAACCUCCUCCCCAGGGCUACAGGGCAGUUAG